GACGAACGCUGGCGGCGUGCUUAACACAUGCAAGUCGUACGGUAAGGCCCUUUCUGGGGUACCCGAGUGGCGAACGGGUGGGUAACACGUCAGUAACCUGCCCACAACUUUGGGAUAACGCUAGGAAACUGGUGCUAAUACUUGAUAUGUACUCCUUCUGCAUGUUGGGUGGUGGAAAGCUCAGGCGGUUGUGGAUGGACUCGCGGCCUAUCAGCUUGGUGGUGGGGUAGCGGCAUACAAAGGCUGCGACGGGUAGCCGGCCUUGGAGGGUGACCGGCAACAGUCGGACUGAGAUACGGCCAAGACUCCUACGCGAGGCAGAAGUGGGGAAUAUUGAAAUAGGGGAGCAAGCCAGAUGCAGCAACGGCGAGUGCGGGAUGACGGUCUUCGGGUUGUAAACCGAUUUCAGCAGGGCCGAAGAUGUUUGUGACGGUACCGGCAGAAGAAGCACCGGCUAACUCCGUG
rnacentral:rRNA from 1 species